GGCGAGAUGGCCGAGCGGUCUAAGGCGCUAGAAUCAGGCGGUUUGCGAAGGCAACGGUCAAAUCUAGUCCUCCGGGGCGUGGGUUCGAAUCCCACUCUCGUCA